UAGGGAAUCUUCCACAAUGGACGCAAGUCUGAUGGAGCAACGCCGCGUGAGAGAAGAAGGUUUUCGGAUCGUAAAGCUCUGUUGUUGGUGAAGAAGGAUAGAGGCAGUAACUGGUCUUUAUGUGACGGUAAUCAACCAGAAAGUCACGGCUAACUACGUGCCAGCAGCCGCGGUAAUACGUAGGUGGCAAGCGUUGUCCGGAUUUAUUGGGCGUAAAGCGAGCGCAGGCGGAAUGAUAAGUCUGAUGUGAAAGCCCACGGCUCAACCGUGGAACUGCAUCGGAAACUGUCAUUCUUGAGCGCAGAAGAGGAGAGUGGAAUUCCAUGUGUAGCGGUGGAAUGCGUAGAUAUAUGGAAGAACACCAGUGGCGAAGGCGGCUCUCUGGUCUGCAACUGACGCUGAGGCUCGAAAGCAUGGGUAGCGAACAGG
rnacentral:rRNA from 1 species